GGCUCAGGACGAACGCUGGCGGCGUGCUUAACACAUGCAAGUCGAACGAAGCACCUUGACUUGAUUUCUUCGGAAUGAAAAAUUUGGUGACUGAGUGGCGGACGGGUGAGUAACGCGUGGGUAACCUGCCUCAUACAGGGGGAUAACAGUUAGAAAUGACUGCUAAUACCGCAUAAGACCACAGCACCGCAUGGUGCAGGGGUAAAAACUCCGGUGGUAUGAGAUGGACCCGCGUCUGAUUAGGUAGUUGGUGGGGUAACGGCCUACCAAGCCGACGAUCAGUAGCCGACCUGAGAGGGUGACCGGCCACAUUGGGACUGAGACACGGCCCAAACUCCUACGGGAGGCAGCAGUAGG
rnacentral:rRNA from 1 species